rnacentral:tRNA from 1 species
GCCUGGGUGGCUCAGUCGGUUGAGCGUCCGACUUCGGCUCGGGUCAUGAUCUCGCGGUCUGUGAGUUAGAGUCCCACGUCGGGCU